rnacentral:misc_RNA from 1 species
GAUGAAGAACGCAGCGAAAUGCGAUAAGUAAUGUGAAUUGCAGAAUUCAGUGAAUCAUCGAAUCUUUGAACGCACAUUGCGCCCUCUGGUAUUCCGGGGGGCAUGCCUGUUCGAGCGUCAUUAUAACCACUCAAGCUCUCGCUUGGUAUUGGGGUUCGCGGUUCCGCGGCCCCUAAAAUCAGUGGCGGUGCCUGUCGGCUCUACGCGUAGUAAUACUCCUCGCGAUUGAGUCCGGUAGGUCUACUUGCCAGCAACCCCCAAUUUUUACAGGUUGACCUCGGAUCAGGUAGGGAUACCCGCUGAACUUAAGCAUAUCAAUAAGCGGAGGA